rnacentral:rRNA from 1 species
AUUGAACGCUGGCGGCAGGCCUAACACAUGCAAGUCGAGCGAGCGGCGGACGGGUGAGUAAUGGAUGGGGAACUGCCCGAUAGAGGGGGAUAACUACUGGAAACGGUGGCUAAUACCGCAUACGAUCGGAGGAACCCAUAUGGGAUUAGCUAGUAGGUGGGGUAAAGGCUCACCUAGGCCACGAUCUCUAGCUGGUCUGAGAGGAUGAUCAGCCAACCUGGGACUGGGACACGGCCCAGACUCCUACGGGAGGCAGCAGUGGGGAAUGUUGCACAAUGGGCGCAAGCCUGAUGCAGCCAUGCCGCGGGUGCGAAGAAGGCCUUCGGGUUGUAAAGCACUUUCAGCGAGGAAGCGUUACUCGCAGAAGAAGCACCGGCUAACUCCGUGCCAGCCGCCGCGGUAAUUC